CUGGCUCAGGAUGAACGCUAGCUACAGGCUUAACACAUGCAAGUCGAGGGGCAUCGGGAAGUUAGCUUGCUAACGUUGCCGGCGACCGGCGCACGGGUGAGUAACGCGUAUCCAACCUUCCCCUUAGUAGGGCAUAGCCCGGCGAAAGUCGGAUUAAUACCCUAUGUUAUUCGUCGAGGACAUCUGAAAUGAAUCAAAGGUUUACCGCUAAGGGAUGGGGAUGCGUCUGAUUAGGUAGUAGGCGGGGUAACGGCCCACCUAGCCGACGAUCAGUAGGGGUUCUGAGAGGAAGGUCCCCCACAUUGGAACUGAGACACGGUCCAAACUCCUACGGGAGGCAGCAGUGAGGAAUAUUGGUCAAUGGGCGCGAGCCUGAACCAGCCAAGUAGCGUGCAGGAUGACGGCCCUAUGGGUUGUAAACUGCUUUUAUCAGGGGAUAAAGUCGGCUACGCGUAGCCGUUUGUAGGUACCUGAUGAAUAAGGACCGGCUAAUUCCGUGCCAGCCGCGGC
rnacentral:rRNA from 1 species